rnacentral:rRNA from 1 species
UACGGAGGGUGCAAGCGUUGCUCGGAAUUAUUGGGCGUAAAGGGUAGGUAGGUGGUCUCGUUUGUCUGGGGUGAAAGCCUUGAGCUUAACUCAAGAAGUGCCCCAGAAACGGCGAGACUAGAGUCUUGGAGAGGGUCGUGGAAUUCCCGGUGUAGCGGUGAAAUGCGUAGAGAUCGGGAGGAACACCUGUGGCGAAAGCGGCGCACUGGACCACAACUGACGCUGAGGCGCGAAAGCUAGGGGAGCAAACAGG